GAUGAACGCUGGCGGCGUGCCUAAUACAUGCAAGUCGAGCGAACAGAUAAGGAGCUUGCUCCUUUGACGUUAGCGGCGGACGGGUGAGUAACACGUGGGUAACCUACCUAUAAGACUGGGAUAACUUCGGGAAACCGGAGCUAAUACCGGAUAACAUUUGGAACCGCAUGGUUCUAAAGUGAAAGAUGGUUUUGCUAUCACUUAUAGAUGGACCCGCGCCGUAUUAGCUAGUUGGUAAGGUAACGGCUUACCAAGGCGACGAUACGUAGCCGACCUGAGAGGGUGAUCGGCCACACUGGAACUGAGACACGGUCCAGACUCCUACGGGAGGCAGCAGUAGGGAAUCUUCCGCAAUGGGCGAAAGCCUGACGGAGCAACGCCGCGUGAGUGAUGAAGGGUUUCGGCUCGUAAAACUCUGUAUUAGGGAAGAACAAACGUGUAAGUAACUGUGCACGUCUUGACGGUACCUAAUCAGAAAGCCACGGCUAACUACGUG
rnacentral:rRNA from 1 species